rnacentral:rRNA from 1 species
GAUUCUGGCUCAGGAUGAACGCUAGCUACAGGCUUAACACAUGCAAGUCGAGGGGCAGCGAGAAGGAAGCUUGCUUCUUGUCGGCGACCGGCGCACGGGUGAGUAACGCGUAUCCAACCUUCCCCUUAGUAGGGCAUAGCCCGGCGAAAGUCGGAUUAAUACCCUAUGUUAUUCGUCGAGGACAUCUGAAGUGAAUCAAAGGUUUACCGCUAAGGGAUGGGGAUGCGUCUGAUUAGGUUGUUGGCGGGGUAACGGCCCACCAAGCCUGCGAUCAGUAGGGGUUCUGAGAGGAAGGUCCCCCACAUUGGAACUGAGACACGGUCCAAACUCCUACGGGAGGCAGCAGUGAGGAAUAUUGGUCAAUGGGCGGAAGCCUGAACCAGCCAAGUAGCGUGCAGGAAGACGGCCCUAUGGGUUGUAAACUGCUUUUGUGCGGGGAUAACUGGGGCUACGUGUAGCCCCUUGCAGGUACCGCACGAAUAAGGACCGGCUAAUUCCGUGCCAGCCGCGGC